UGAUAGUUCUGUAUUGAGUGAUCAGCAGCUAAGUGCAAAUACUCCCAUCCCUGUAGUAGAGAUUAUUUUAUAUAAAAGUCACCUUAAUUACUAGACCCAGAAGGCCAGAGGUAAUGAAAAGUACUUUAGAAAGAUGAAAUGUUAAUGAUAAAUUAAAGGGAAUAAUCUUAGAUAGAUUUUCUUAAGUGUAAUUUAGUGCAGAU
rnacentral:lncRNA from 1 species